rnacentral:lncRNA from 1 species
CCAUCACAUCAACCCACCACGAUUUGAACCCUUCUCCCUAACGCCAUCGACCUCUACCUUCUGCCGUCCCAAAUUUCACCCCGACAAGAUCACCAAACCAGCCAUAUACCGUUGUCCCACUACAAUUACAAUACAUUCCUAAUACUGCCAUUGUCACCACUUUUCUCAGUCCAGUCCACCAUAGCCAAUGGACUGCCAUAUCCACUCCCACCUGCUGCCCUUUUCUUUCCCAGAUAAUCACAACUUGCUGGGUUCUUCGUCAUUACUACAGCUACUAUUUUCUAGCCAUUCUUCUGUCAAUUGAAGCUGCUGCUCACCCACUGCUCCAGUUCCACAUCAUUUGCCGCCACCUGUCCCUGGUUCAUUGCAACAUCACUUUCUGCCAGGCAAAUUGGUGUCCCACGAUCUGCUGCCUAUUCACUCUGCCAUUGCUGCUAUCCGACAUCAGAAACAUCGAGCCCAACCGCUGUAGAAUUGAGUCUAGUUGCUGUUCUUCUCUGCUAUCCCCGCCUUUACAUGCACUGCGCCAUUCCUGCCGGCAUCACCAUUUCCGGUUAGCUCUCCAGUGUGAGGUAAGGAUUUAUUUCUGCUUUUUGAUACUUGAUCUUUUAUUUAAGUGCAUUUCGUUUAUUUAAUUUGAUUUAGCUUUAGUUUCAAUCCAGAAAUUAAUGUUCAUUUUUCACUACAACCUUCACACAAUUUUCAACUAAUUAUAAUACAUAAUGAAUCUAAAGGAUCUUAACAAAUCUCAUGAUACACUCUCAUAGCAAGUCACUAAUCUCUCAUUUAACACACUGUGAUCUAGCUGAGCUUAAAACUCUCAUCCAAAACUUUACCGAUCAGACUGGGCAAUCAUCUCAGAACCCGAGUAAACGUCCUAUGCAUGAUUUAUUCGAUUCCUCCAUAGUUGGUCAAAACAUCCACGAACCACUCCUCCACAUCCCAGAUGGCAUACUACCUAAUCCAAACAAUCUUGGCACUACACAUCACAUUUCUUAUUCGAAACUUCAUGACCCAGUUGUUAAUAGUGUCCCUUGUCCUGAUUUCCCACAUCCACCCCACACUUACAUUAUGAACAACACAUGGAUCUUGUUGAUGAUGUUACUAGAAAGUCAAAGUUGACGCCCCAAAAUUUGAUGGUCGCCUGGAACCCAAGCCUUUCUUGAUUGGCAUGAUGCCAUCGAAGAAUACUUCGAUUGGUACCAAAUGCCUAAUUAUCAGCGUAUUCGUUUCUCCAAGAUGAAACUUGUUAAAUCUGCUAAACGUUAUUGGCAAAUGGUGAUACAAUCCCUCGAUCACCUAGGCCAGUCUAUUACUACAUGGGGAGAAAUGAAACUAAAAUUCACUAAGAACUACUUCCCGUCUUACCAUCGUUCUCAACUGUUGGAACGUUUUCUUAACCAUAGGCAAAACUCAACUACCAUGUCAGACUACAGGACUUGUUUUGACGAGUUAUGGUAUCGUUCAGGCUUUGCUGAACCUGAGGACGUCACAAUUACUAGGUUCCUUAAUAGCCUGUGCCUAGAUCUCAAACAUCACGUCCUUAUACUCAAUCCCGACUCAUUAGAGGAUGCUUUUCACAAAGGACUCGAACACGAGCGAUACUCCCGUUCUUCAUAUUUGCAGCAUGGCCCUCCCACCUUACUUGACCCAUGUCUCUCUUGACCCCAUCUGACUGGUGCUCCUACUAGUAGCCCUACAUUGAGGUAGACCCACUUGACUGUGGGAUCUUCUCCUAUUCCCAUUCCUCGCAACCUUUAUCGGGGUCAACCCGUUUCUCCAGCUACCACUUGAGGUCUUAACCCUCAAAUUGUUUUCUAUAACUGUCAUGCUCGAGGUCAUAUUGUCUCUCAAUGUUCCAAUCGUGCCCUCGCCCUUGCAUAAGAGCCUUUACUUCCAACCCUAGAGAAUGAAUGUUUCACGGUGGACCCUCACCCUAUUGACCAUUUUGAUGAGGAUCUUGACCAAUUUGAGUGUUAUGAGAGAAUAAGGUUGUUGUCUCUGUUAUGAGAUGUAUCAUUUCCACCCUUAUUGAUGCAGACUCAUGGAAGCAAACUUUUCUAUUUUCCAUACAUUCAUCCCAUGUAACUCUCGAUUUUGCAAGUUAGUUAUUGAUAAUGGUAGCACCAUGAAUGUCGUAUCUAAGUCUACGGUGGCCGAAUUUGGCUUCAAGAUCGAAAGGUGGCGUGGAUAGAUCGAACCUCUUUGCCUGUCACUCAUCGCUGUCUCGUACCCCUUAAAUUGGGUCUAUUUUUUUUGGAAGACAUUUGAUGUCUUGCCUAUGGACAUUGCUCACAUCCUUUUGGAUCACCCUUGGCUUUAUGAUCAUGAUGUUAAGCAUUUCGGGCGUAACAACACAUGAAUUUCUCCACGAUGGCAAAACUAUUCGCCUUCUACCGGCCAAACCCUCAGACCUUCCAAAGAAGACAACUUCCAUCUCUACACCCAAGGGUGUUACAGACGGUUGUAUCCAACAAUUGUCUCUUAAAGAUUUUGAAUGUGAAGGUCAAGAUGCUGGACUUAUGUUUGUCGUAGUUGCUAAAGCGUAUUCCCAAACCUCUCUUGAUCCUCCCAUAGACAUCCCACCCGAAGUAACUCCUUUACUCGACGAGUUUAAUGAUAUUAUGCCCGUCGACCUACUUGAUGAGCUUCCUCCUAUGCGGGAUAUUCAACAUGCCAUCAAUCUUGUACAUGGCUUCCAGUUGCCAAAUCAACCCCGUUAUAGAAUAAACCUUACUGAGCGAGCUGAACUCAAUAGGCAAAUUGAAGCUCUACUCAAUAAAGACUUUAUUCGCCCUAGCCUUAGCCCUAGUACUAGUUUUACUCACCCCUAAGAAGGACGGCUCAUGGCGCAUGUGUGUUGAUAGUCGUGCCAUCAACAAAAUGACAGUUAAGUACCGCUUCCCUAUUCCACGACUUGAGGAUAUGUUGGAUGAGUUGGCAGGAUCUUUGUGGUUCUCCAAGAUUGAUCUACGAAGUGGCUCUCAUCAAAUAAAGAUUAGACCCUGAGAUGAAUGGAACACAGCAUUUAAGACCCAAGAUAACUUGUAUGAAUGGUUGGUGAUGCCUUUCGAGUUAUCUAAUGCUCCUAGCACUUUGAUGCGGGUCAUGACUCAUGUCUUACGUCCUUUUAUUGGGAAGUUUCUUGUCGUCUAUUUUGAUGACAUUCUGAUUUAUAGUCGAUCACAAGAAUCUCACUUAGAUCACCUUCAUUAGGACUUUCUUACUCUUCGCUCUGCGCAGUUAUACGCUAACCUAAAAAAGUUUUCAUUUUUCCAGUCCCAUGUAUUCUUCCUAGGGUUCAUCAUUUCAGUACAAAGUAUUUCUUUUGACCCCGCUAAAAUCUCUUUUAUUCGGGAUUGGCCUAUGCCUUCCACAUUAACUGAGAUACGUAGCUUUCAUGGGCUUGUAUCUUCCUAUAGGAGAUUCAUUAAAGGUUUUAGCUCCCUCACUUCUCCCAUCACUGAGUGCAUGAAAAAAAGGGAUUUUCGUUGGACCCUUUCUGCCUAAAAAGCCUUCUUAGCUGUCAGGCAACAAGCUCCCAUUUUACGCCACCCGGAUCUUUCUAAGGUUUUUGAGGUUGCUUGUGAUGCUUUCGGUAUGGGUAUAUGAAGUAUUUUAAGUCAAGAAGGUUAUCCCAUUGCCUUCUUCAGGAAAAAGCUGAACCAAGCUAGGCAGAAGUAUUCUACCUAUGACAAUGAGUUCUAUGCCUUUAUCCAAUCUCUUCGUUAUUGGCGAUUUUACUUAUUGCCUCAGGAGUUUCUUCUAUACUCUAAUCAUUAGGCUCUUUGUUUCCUUCACUCCCAGUUCCAUUUAAGUGAGCGGCAUGUUAAGUGGGUUGAGUUUCUUCAGGAGUACACUUUUGUUCUCCAUCAUCGGGUCGGUGUUAAAAGUAAAAAAAUGACUGAUGCUCUUAGUUGUAUCACUACGGUGCUUGAGUCGAUGAGCACACUGUGGUGGGAUUUGAGCACUUGAAGGACGAUUAUCCUAAUUGUCCUGUCUUUAGCACCAUUUUUAGGACCUUUUGGACAAUCCUUCCCUUAACCAUGAUUCUUUCUUACUUAAAGAUGAUUAUCUUUUCAAAGGUACCAAGUUAUGUAUCCCCUGUACUUCACAUCGUGACUUCUUAGUCUGGGAACUACACGUAGGGGAUCUUGCUAGUCAUUUUAGUUGAGAUAAAACAAUCACCUUAACUGAAGAUCAAUUUUAUUGGCCAUUCCUUAAGAGAGACAUUGCUCGCAUUGUCUCUCAGUGUUGUAUGUUUCAAUUAGGUAAGGUAUGAUGUCAAAAUACUGGGAUGUAUACUAUUUUUCCUAUUUCUCGUACUUCUUAGCGUGACCUUAGUAUGGACUUCAUUCUCGGGUUACCUAAAACAGCUCGGGGUCAUGAUUCCAUUUUUGUGGUGGUCGAUAGGUUUUCUAAAAUGGGACAUUUCAUCCCAUGUUCUAAGUCCUCUGAUGCGUCCUACAUUGUAAAGUUGUUUUUCAACGAAGUUGUCCGUCUCCAUGGCCUGCCAGUUAGUAUCGUGUCGGAUCGUGAUGUCAAGAUUGUUAGUUACCUUUGGAAGAUACUGUGGGAACUCUUUGGGACGGCGCUUAAGUUCUCUUCUGCAUUUCACCUCCAAAUCGAUGGUCAAACUGAAGUUGUAAACCGUAGUUUGGGCAAUCUCCUUCGUUGCUUAGUUGGGGAUAAACUAGGGAAUUGGGAUCUUGUGUUGCCCACCGUUGAGUUUGCUUACAAUAAUUCUGUUAAUAGUCUACCGGUCAUAGUCCCUUUGAGGUUGUUCAAGGUUUCUCUCCUCGCCGGCUGCUUGAUUUAAUCUCCUUGCCUCCCAAUUUUCAUCCUGCUGCCUCUGCUCAAGCUUUUGCUGAUCAUAUUCAUGACUUGCAUGAUAAGAUUAAACGUAAAAUUUCUUUAAGCAAUGAUCAGUAUAAAUUAUCUGCUAAUCCCCACCGUAGGCAUAAGGAAUUUAGCAUUAGUGAUUAUGUCAUGGUCCGACUAGCACCUGACCAUUUCCCUUAACAUGCUGCCAAGAAACUUUGUGCUAGGUCACUAGGGCCUUUUCCCAUCAUUAAACGGCUUGGAACUAAUACUUAUCUACUUGAACUACCACUGCACUUAAAUAUUAGUCUUGUUUUUAAUAAAGCAGAUUUAUAUCCUUAUCGAGGCAUAUUUGAGCCUCUGGUAUUGUUGCCUAACAUUUCUGUAGGACAGUCUUCUGGGCUACCUCCUCGAGCUCAUGUUACCACAUUUUCUCUAGAGGAUGUCAUUGAUGAUGUACUUGGUGAUCAGUUUGUUGCUUCGCAGAAUGGUGGUUUUCAUCGAUUUCUAGUGCGUUGGAAAGGUCGCCCGCCUAGUGAUGCUACUUGGAUUGAUGAAGCUGAGUUUCGUCAACUAGAUGUUAUUCUUUUAGACAGCUAUCUGGAUAAUACCUCGUUGGAGUCAAGUUCUUUUCAACUGAGGAGGAAUGAUGCAAAUUGGAAAGUAUAUUCUAGGUGAAAUCGUAAUCAAAUCAAUUAAAGAUCAAAUUUUCAUUAUUGCUUUCUCUUGUUUUGGUAGAAUAAUAAAUUUGUUUCCUUUUAAACAAAAGGAAAUUCUAGUUUUUCCUUUUAUUACAAUUUUCCUUUUUAUUGUUAUUUGGG